rnacentral:rRNA from 1 species
UACAGAGGGUGCGAGCGUUAAUCGGAAUUACUGGGCGUAAAGCGCGUGUAGGCGGUUGCCCAAGUCGGGUGUGAAAGCCUUGAGCUCAACUCAAGAAAUGCACUCGGUACUGGGUGACUAGAGGACCGGAGAGGAUAGUGGAAUUCCCAGUGUAGUGGUGAAAUACGUAGAGAUUGGGAAGAACACCAGUGGCGAAGGCGGCUAUCUGGACGGUUUCUGACGCUAAGACGCGAAAGCGUGGGGAGCAAACAGG